UCAAGUGUCUAAGAGCAUAUGAUGGAUGCCUUGGCAUUGAGAGGCGAUGAAGGACGUAGCAGGCUGCGAUAAGCCACGGGGAGGCGCCAACACCCUUUGAUCCGUGGAUUUCCGAAUGGGGCAACCCACUUCUUUUUGAAGUAUUUUACACUGAAUACAUAGGUGUAAAAAGCAAACCUGGUGAACUGAAACAUCUCAGUAACCAGAGGAAAGGAUAUCAACAGAUACUCUGCUAGUAGCGGCGAGCGAACGCGGACCAGGCCAGUAAUUAAAACUUAAAAAUCAGAAAUACCUGGAAAGGUAUACCAUAGAUGGUGAUAGUCCAGUAUGAGUAAAAAGAGUUUUAGUUCUCGAGUAGGACGGGACACGUGAAAUCUUGUCUGAAUUUAGGGGGACCACCCUCUAAGCCUAAGUACUUCUCAAUGACCGAUAGUGAACAAGUACCGUGAGGGAAAGGUGAAAAAUACCCCCAUGAGGGGAGUGAAAUAGAUCUGAAAUUGUAUGCUUACAAGCAGUCGAAGGAGGUUUAUCCUCUGACGGCGUACCUUUUGUAUAAUGGGUCAGCGAGUUAAUUUAGAUAGCAAGCUUAAACCGUUAGGUGUAGGCGUAGCGAAAGCGAGUUCGAAAGAGCAAAUUAGUUAUUUGAAUUAGACCCGAAACCGGGUGAUCUAGCCAUGGGCAGGUUGAAGGUAAAGUAAUAUUUACUGGAGGACCGAACACACUAAUGUUGAAAAAUUAGGUGAUGACUUGUGGCUAGGAGUGAAAGGCUAAUCAAACUCGGAAAUAGCUGGUUCUCCGCGAAAUCUAUUUAGGUAGAGCGUCGAAUGUUUACCAACGGGGGUAGAGCACUGGAUGGGCUAGGGGGUUGCAAAACCUACCAAACCUAACCAAACUCCGAAUACCGUUGAGUAUAGUUCGGCAGACAGACUGUGGGUGCUAAGGUCCAUAGUCGAAAGGGAAACAGCCCAGAUCACAAGCUAAGGUCCCCAAGUAAUAACUAAGUGUAAAAGGAUGUAAAGUAGCCAAGACAGCCAGGAGGUUGGCUUAGAAGCAGCCACCCUUUAAAGAAAGCGUAACAGCUCACUGGUCUAGUUAAGCAACUUUGCGCCAAAGAUGUAACGGGGCUAAGUUAUUCACCGAAGCUGUGGAUUAGUAUUUUGUUCGCAAAAUACUACUGGUAGCGGAGCGUUCCGUAAGUCUGUGAAGAUAAUUUGUAAGAAUUAUUGGAGAUAUCGGAAGUGAGAAUGCUGACAUGAGUAGCGAUAAACAGAGUGAGAAACUCUGUCGCCGAAAGUCCAAGGUUUCCUGCGCAAGGUUAAUCCGCGCAGGGUUAGUCGGCCCCUAAGGCGAGGGCGAAAGCCGUAGUCGAUGGGAAUCAGGUUAAUAUUCCUGAACUAUCUGGUGGUGACGAAGUUUUAAUUUUGUACAAGCUUAUUGGAUUGUUUGUGCAAUGAGGAAUUUCCAGGAAAUAGCCCCAGAGCGUUAACCGUACCCCAAACCAACACAGGUGGACAGGUAGAAGAUACUAAGGCGCUUGAGAGAAUGGUGUUGAAGGAACUCGGCAAAUUGCAUCCGUAACUUCGGAAGAAGGAUGACCUUUUGUUGAGCAAUCAACAGAAGGUGACACAAAAUUGGGGAUAGCGACUGUUUAUCAAAAACAUAGGGCUCUGCUAAGUUGUAAAACGAUGUAUAGGGCCUGACGCCUGCCCGGUGCCGGAAGGUUAAGAGAAUAAGUGCAAGCUUUGAAUUGAAGCCCCGGUGAACGGCGGCCGUAACUAUAACGGUCCUAAGGUAGCGAAAUUCCUUGUCGGGUAAGUUCCGACCCGCACGAAUGGCGUAACGACUUUCCCACUGUCUCCAACACCAACUCAGCGAAAUUGAAUUCUCCGUGAAGAUGCGGAGUAACCGCGGUCAGACGGAAAGACCCCGUGCACCUUUACUACAGCUUUGCAGUGGCAUUAGGAAUUGAAUGUGUAGAUUAAGUGGGAGACUUUGAUGUAUUGGCGCUAGCUGGUAUGGAGUCACCAGUGAAAUACCACUCUUUUAAUUCUUGAUAUCUAACUGAGGUCCGUUAUCCGGAUCCAGGACCCUGCAUGGUGGGUAGUUUGACUGGGGCGGUCGCCUCCCAAAGAGUAACGGAGGCGCACAAUGGUAGGCUCAAACUGGUCAGAAAUCAGUUGUAGAGUGCAAUGGCACAAGCCUGCUUGACUGUGAGAGUGACAACUCGAACAGAGACGAAAGUCGGUCAUAGUGAUCCGGUGGUUCUUAGUGGAAGGGCCAUCGCUCAACGGAUAAAAGGUACGCCGGGGAUAACAGGCUAAUAACUCCCAAGAGUCCAUAUCGACGGGGUUGUUUGGCACCUCGAUGUCGGCUCAUCACAUCCUGGGGCUGGAGCAGGUUCCAAGGGUUCGGCUGUUCGCCGAUUAAAGUGGUACGUGAGCUGGGUUCAGAACGUCGUGAGACAGUUCGGUCCCUAUCUGCCGUGGUUGUUGGAAAACUGAGAGGAUCUGCCCUUAGUACGAGAGGACCGGGGUGGACGUACCUCUGGUGUACCGGUUGUCGCGCCAGCGGCAUCGCCGGGUAGCUAUGUACGGAAAGGAUAACCGCUGAAAGCAUCUAAGUGGGAAGCCCACCUCAAGACUAGUUUUCCUUAUAGAGCUGUGGAAGACCACCACGUUGAUAGGCUAGAUGUGGAAGCAUGGUAACAUGUGAAGCUAACUAGUACUAAUAGCUCAAAAUCUUGAUUUU
rnacentral:rRNA from 1 species